GGCAAAAUGCAUGGGAGCCCUUGUCAUAACAGUUUGUCAAUUGUGUAAAGAUUGUUGUGGUUUGGAUGAGGCUACCAUGGUUGCUUUGGGAGCAUUUGGACAAGGCGGCAACCCUUAACACUGCCUCUGCUAUCGGUGUCCACUUGCAAGUGGAUCUAUGCAUGGAGACACUGUUGAUGGAGCUGAGGCCAAUUUCAGCUGAGUGGUGGUGCUGCUGGACCUCAGUAGCCAACUCAUGCCUAGCAUCUAGGCAGGCUUGCCAAAGAGUGGAGUAAGGCAACACCAUGAGAGUGUAGGAGUGGCAUGUUUUGGGUGUGGCCACAUGGGCCAUGACAAUCAAUGGUGCACCUUCCUAGAGGGUUAGCCAAGGAAGGUCAUCAUACCUGAAAAUGUGGUGAUGAAGAAUAUGACAUUGGGUGUGGGCAUUUAGAGCCAGUAACUAGCAAGUGGCUUGGCUUCCAAUACUGCCCCUAUAGAGAUGCCAAUGUAGCUGACUUAGCAUCCAUGGGUAGUUGUAAAACGUGUCAGACCUGAAAGAGAAGAUGGCAGCCUGUUCAAGGCCAUUCGGUCACCACCUAAGUUGAUUUGUCCAUCUAAGGGAAGGGCUGUCUUAGUGACUCACCUCACACAUUCCUUGGUGCAAGUAGUUCUUUGCCAUCUCGUGGGGACUAGCUACUGCCCAAGAAGGUCACUUGGUGCCAUGCAAACCAAUUGGGCAUGCAGCAGCAGGAGAUUGAGCUUGUCCUCUGCUUCAGGGUCUUGCUGUGUGGGGCUACCUUGUAAGGGGGAGUGGUAAUGGUGCAGCCUAUGGAUGUAGGGCUGUUCAUCUUGGAGUCAACCCGUCAGGCUAGUUGUGGGAAGCAUAAGGCAAAGCAGCCUGAGUCGUGGGGACUGACAAUUGCCGACAAAGGUUGCUUGGUGCCAUGUCAAACCAACUAGACACAUGGCAGUGGGUGUCAUGGCGACAUGCUGUGCUUUGGGUUCUUGCUAUGCGGACUAUCUUCUAAGGAUGGAGCAAUAGUAGUGCAAAGGAAUGGGGCUGUUCGUUCCAGGGUCAACUAGUCUGGUGGGUGGCAGGAAGUGUAAGGCAAAGUGGCGGUGGGGGGCUUUAGCUCCUACCUCUCCCAACCAAGGAGUGGGUGUGUAGCCGACUCUUGUAGGCCCACCUUAGAACGUGUCAAAGGCCACAAGCAAAAGGCUUGGUUUACAUAGACAAGGUGGCAUCAGUCUGGGUCAGGCCAUCCAGAGGGGAGUGUUGUGAAGACGGUGACCAUUAGGCCUCAAUUGAGCAGUCAUGCAAACCCACCGCAAUAGAGGCCGAUUCUCAGGCCACCAAUUAGUGACCCACGAGUGGGAGGCAAAGGCUGACCAAGCUCCGGGAUUGUGGCCACCAGAUCCUUUGGGGUAGCAUGUCAAAUUUUUGGUACUCCAGUUAUCGGGC
rnacentral:lncRNA from 1 species